AGUCCUUUUGAAGAUUGAGAUUCCGGUGAGGGUGAGGGAGGACGAACGAGAAUGCCCGUUACGUGACUGAAACAGCCCAUGUGGAUCCUCCUCUUGGUGACGUGUCUCAACUGGAUUGCGUGGUUCCCAUUCUUACUAUUCGACACCGACUGGAUGGGCCGCGAGGUCUACGGAGGAACGGUUGCGGCCCGCCCCGUGAAUAUAAAACGGGGCUAAGAUUACUUACAGUAUACCCUUUGCUCUGGCAUCCAUAUUCUCCAGCACCUCAAGGGCAGGCCAAGCCAAAUGAUGCUUCAAGUGUUCCUAAUACACCUUUGGAUGCAAGAGGAUCUUCUAGUGCUAACAACCCUUAGUUUGCUUAUAAUGUAUUUUGGAUUUAAAGUUUAAUUAGUUCAAGACUAAUAUUACUUUUUUAUGGAUUUUAUGUCAUACUUUGAUUUACAAUAGAAAUUUGAAUUGUAAAUUUUUGAACUAUACACUGUUAUUUUUGUUAUUGGAAAUAUAAUUUCUACGUCCACAUUA